AUGCCGGCCAACCGUAGGUCGUCCUGCUCACGCGACCCGAGAAGUACUUUGGAUGAAGCUAAAGGAAGAAGAAAGACCUUGGAGACUAAGGCCAUGUUAGGGACCGUGGAAGAAUUGACUGGGACCCAGAGGAAAGCUGGACGUGGCUUUGCCUCCAGUGUAGCGGCUAAGCUGCUGAGAAAGGAAGAAUUGAGGUACUGGCGUGUUCAUCAACACGUCUCAACAAGGGUGGACCCCCAGCCCUCUCCGAAGCCUCCGGCACCAGCCCCUGUGCCCGGCGCUUUGCCGUCUGAAGCCCUCCACGCGCCGGGCCAACCUUUGACCUGGGCUUGUGAGCCUGUCAUAGGAAGAAUGGCUCCACGGCAGCCGAUUCCACCCCUCCCGGCAGAUCCGGGAAGGAGAGGCCCUCACGCUAGGACUCAGGACUGCUCACUCACACACACACACGCAGCAGCGAUGCGUGCAUAAGAAGGCCGGACGCCUACAUGGGGACUCAGGCUGGACGGCGAGCGUGUCCCCAGCAGCCACGCAUGACUGCGGUGGUCCUGCACGGGUCAGGGUCCCCUGCACGGAUUGCGGCCACGCGGCUGCGGGCGGACGCCCACGAAGCCGGCCCUGCUGCUGCGGCCCUUAGAGCUGGGGCUCCGAUGGCCGGAGAGGUGGUUUAAGGCGGUUUUGGCAAAAGCCCCCAGACCAGGGUCAUCUGACUGUCGCUUGGCCAUCAAAGGAGCGCUAUGCAGUGGGAGUGGGUAUCCCUUACUUCCAGGGAUGCCCCAGAAGGCAGAGAAACACGCUGGACCCUCCCCCCCCCCCCCCCCCCCGCUUCCUCCCCCUCCCUUCUUUUCUUCCAGCGCAUCCAUUAGCAGGGUAGAGGUGGGGCGGGGCUUCUUGGGGGCCUGGGCCAUGUCGUCCCCACAGUGAGCGCAGGCAGGGAGGGCAGAUAGACGGGAGAGCAAAGGGUGGUUGACUGUUCCACCUGGAACAGUCUGGGUUAUCUGGAAUAAUCUAACAUCAAAUACACCGUCCUCUUGUCCCCGUAAACUAUUGAAGUUUUCUGGACGUUUAAAUACGGAUAUGCACCGAUAUCCGAUUUGUCUUCCUGCUACGCAGCGCUGCACAUUCCACUCGCUCGGUGGGACCCGACCCCAGCGUCUGACGACAGAGUCUUUAUCUGAAGAAAAUCCAGCAUUCUUCCCAGAAUCAAAAAAAAAAAAAAAAAAUCCAUAGAAAACUGUAAUCAAGGGGCGCCUGGGUGGCUCAGUCGGUUAAGCAUCCGACUUCAGCUCAGGUCACGAUCUCACGGUCCGUGAGUUCGAGCCCCGCAUCGGGCUCUGGGCUGAUGGCUCAGAGCCUGGAGCCUGCUUCCGAUUCUGUGUCUCCCUCUCUCUCUGCCCCUCCCCGGUUCAUGCUCUGUCUCUCUCUGUCUCAAAAAUAAAUAAAAACGUUAAAAAAAAUUAAAAAGAAAA
rnacentral:lncRNA from 1 species